rnacentral:rRNA from 1 species
UACGAAGGACCCGAGCGUUAUCCGGAUUUAUUGGGUUUAAAGGGUGCGUAGGCGGAUUAAUAAGUCAGUGGUGAAAGCCCAUCGCUUAACGAUGGAACUGCCAUUGAUACUGUUAGUCUUGAGUAUGGUUGAGGUGGGCGGAAUGUGUCAUGUAGCGGUGAAAUGCUUAGAUAUGACACAGAACACCAAUUGCGAAGGCAGCUCGCUAAACCAUAACUGACGCUGAGGCACGAAAGCGUGGGGAGCAAACAGG